UACAGGGGGUGCAAACGUUGUUCGGAUUUACUGGGCGUAAAGGGCGCGUAGGCGGUCAGCACAAGUCAAUUGUGAAAUCUCCGAGCUUAACUCGGAAAGGUCAACUGAAACUGUGCGACUAGAGUGCGGAAGGGGCAACUGGAAUUCUUGGUGUAGCGGUGAAAUGCGUAGAUAUCAAGAGGAACACCUGCGGCGAAGGCGGGUUGCUGGGCCGACACUGACGCUGAAGCGCGAAAGCCAGGGGAGCGAACGGG
rnacentral:rRNA from 1 species